UUGGAAACCAAAUCCCGAGGUUAGAGCCUGGGCAUCGGUAUUUUUUUUAAACAUACAGGUGAUUCUGAUGCACACUGAGUGUUGAGGGCCACCCUGAGGGAUGCGGAAGUACCUCUCUUUCCCCUGUCAUGUGUCCUCUGGUAAAGGGGUCACAAAAACUGUACUGCAUGUGCCUCCUGCUUAAAGAGGUUCUCUGGAGCCUUGAAAAAAAUACAGAGUGGAAGAAAUAGCUACAUGAAAUUUUUAUUCAUGUUCAAAUUUGUAGUGAUAGUAUACAGUUGGCCCUCUGUAUACAUGGGUUUCUUAUGCAUGAAUUCAACCAACCUCAGAUAAAAAGUAUUUGGAAAAAAAUACAAUAAAAAGUAAUAUACAUUUUAAAAAUACAAUAUUAAAACUAUUUCCAUAGCAUUUACAUUGUAUUAGUUAUUUUAAGUACUUUAGAGAUGAUUUAAAGUGCACAGGAUAUGCCUGGGUUAUUUGAAAAUACUAUGCCAUUUUAUAGAAGGGACUUGAGCAUUCAUGGAUUUUGGUAUCUGCAGGGGUCCUGGAACCAGUCCCUCACAAACACCAAAGAAUGACUCUAUACUCCAGAUCAUGAAAGCACAUAAUGGGAGAAUAAUCAACAACUCUGAAUUUAAGCAAACAAACCAACUGCACUGGUUGAGGCUGGGAGAGUGAGUGGAACCAGCUGAGGAAGAUGUGGCCCAAUCAGAGCCUUUACCAAGUCUUGGUAAUAAAUGCCCUUGGCAAAUAAACACAAUCAGAACAAAAACUACUUUCCACUACCACUGAAAGGAAAAAAUGUUGGCAAAGAUUAUGGAAAUGUGGUGACUUGUAAUUAUUCAGCUGAGGGGGAAUAUAAACUGGGACUUACAUAGACUUUGGAUGCCAAACAAAACUAUUAUAAUGAAAUUCUAGGAAACCAAAUGUAAAUCAAAACUGUGGUCCAGGCUACAGCAUUUCUCCACUAUUGAAUAUAUAAAAGUGAAAUUGAAUCACCAAGGAGGACAAAGCAAGUAACGAUAUCAGCUGUUUCUCACAAUGAAAUCCUAAUAAAAAUGCAACUGAGUUUGUUAAACUUCAAUUGUCUAAGGUAGAUGCAUUUCCUCUUGUUAUUUAAACAGCAGAUUCUUGCUUACCUAAAAUACAGAGCCCCAAAAUGUCCAUUUGCCCAAUAAAAUCUUUGUUUAGGAAAUACAAUACAUGAAAUACUCAAACAAUAGGGUAUUAUAUAGGUUAUAAAAGGAUGCAUUUAUAUUUCAUAGACAAUUUAGUUUCCCAUGAGUUAAAUGAAUUUCCAGAUCAUUGUGUGAUUAAGUUCUUGGGUUCUAAGAAAGUUUAAAGUAAAGCUUAGGUAAUGGCCAAGUUAAGAUGAAUAAAAUAAUUGAAUAGAAAAACACUAUUUGAAAUUAUAAUACAAUUAAUACAAAAUAUUUGAUUUUACUAAAUUAUAUAAACUCAGACAAACCUUAUUCACUUAUAGCAGUAGUGCUUUCUAAAAAUCCCAGCAUCAUUUAGAAGGAAAACACUAGAAGAUAUUAAGGGACAAUCCGUUGUGGCUAGAAGACAAUAUUACAUCUUUUAUGUGCAUUUUAAAAUAUUUAUACUGUUAUUUUCAUAUACUCAUUAUGUAUCGUGUUUAAUAUUAAACAAAUAAGAUGUUUUACUUUAUUACAUUUUGAAACUUGGAUUGGCCUAGGAGCCCUUAUUUGGUCAAUGUGUGAGGAUGUGGAGGCCAUCCUAUCAGAAGGAUGAACUCCAACCUAUGUUGGGUAAUUUUAUAUGUAAACUUGGUUGAGCCAAGGCACCAGGCAAUCCAUCAAACAUUAUUCUGGAUGUUUCCAUGAAAGUGUUUUUUUGGAUGAGAUUAACACUUAAAUUGGUAGAAUUUGAGUAAAGCAGAUUACCUUCCAUAGUGUGGAUAGGCCUCAUCCAACCAGUCAAAUGCCUUAAUAGAACAGAGACUGACCUUCCUCGAGGAAGAAUGAAUUCUGCCAGCACAUUGCCUUCAGAUUCAAGCUGCAACUCUCCCCAGGGUCUUUAGCCUGACAGAAUCUCCACCUUGCAGAUUUUGAAUUUACCAAGCCUCCCACAAUUGUGUGAACCAAUUCUUUAAAAUAUCUCUCUUUCUCUCCUCUCUCUCUCUAUAUAUA
rnacentral:lncRNA from 1 species